CAUCGGAACGUGUCCCGUAGUGGGGGAUAACCCGGCGAAAGCCGGACUAAUACCGCAUAUGCUCUACGGAGGAAAGUGGGGGACCUGCAAGGGCCUCACGCUAUGGGAGCGGCCGAUGUCCGAUUAGCUUGUUGGUGAGGUAAUGGCUCACCAAGGCGACGAUCGGUAGCUGGUCUGAGAGGAUGAUCAGCCACACUGGGACUGAGACACGGCCCAG
rnacentral:rRNA from 1 species